rnacentral:rRNA from 1 species
UACGUAGGGGGCUAGCGUUGUUCGGAAUUACUGGGCGUAAAGGGCUCGUAGGCGGCCAACUAAGUCAGACGUGAAAUCCCUCGGCUUAACCGGGGAACUGCGUCUGAUACUGGAUGGCUUGAGUUUGGGAGAGGGAUGCGGAAUUCCAGGUGUAGCGGUGAAAUGCGUAGAUAUCUGGAGGAACACCGGUGGCGAAGGCGGCAUCCUGGACCAACACUGACGCUGAGUGAGCGAAAGCCAGGGGAGCAAACGGG